AACAUGUGGUGUUUUGUAGUGGCUUUGUUGACAUGCAACUGAUUUCAUUUCUAUGAUUACUGAAUAUCAUGUCACAAUACCUGCAUAUAAUACUAACUCUUAUUCUAUCUGCUUUAUAUAGUUUUCAUCAAGUCCGAAUUCGAUCCCUCUUAUUACAUUAGGGAUCAAACUUAAUGCAGUUUAUUUACACAUUAUGAUUAUGCGAUUUGUGUCUAGAAAUUUGGACUCACAGUUCUACAAGGAAACUAUAGUUCUUCUAUUUUGUCCACAUUAAAUUACAGGAUUUAUUGCUCAUCUUUUUGUUUUAUGUAGAUAUCUGAUUUUGGACUUGCAAAAUGGCUCCCCCAUAAGUGGACGUGCCUCACCACAUUGUAGUUUGAAAGAACCUUUGGAUACCUCCUCUCGUGUUCUUUAUGCAUGGCAUUGUGGAUGAAAAAACUGAUGUGUAUCCUUUUGGUGUGUUACUGUUGGAGCUCAUUUUCGGACAUCCAGCUUUGGAUGAAUCUCGUAGUAGUGUUGUGAUGUGGGCUAAACCUUUGCUUUUCAGCAAGAAACAUAAUGAGAUAGUCGAUACGUCACUCGAAAAUGCCUAUGACGCUGAACAGCUCAAUCAGAUUCUUAGUUGCCUCUUUUAUGCAUACAGCAAUCCUCAGCUGAUCGGCCUUCC